UUUCUAGUCAAGAUACUUUUUGGAGGAAAGAAGUUCAAGGCAGAUUUCAGUAACUGGCAGCUAAUGGUAGAGAGUUACGAAUCAAAAUCCCAAGAUUUCUAAUUAAAAGCCACAGGUUCCAAGGCUGAAUCCUGGAGUAAUGGAAGGGCCCAAGCUCUCCACAGUGCCACCUAAUGAUACAAAAAAAUCUCUACAACCAAGAGGGCAGGAUGUGGACAAGAAGCUGGAGUCUUAGGAGUUUACUUUUAGGUGACACGUCCAAGGUUACACAGUAAGUGGCAACGCUGGCAACAGAAGCU